rnacentral:misc_RNA from 1 species
ACUAUAAGCUAAUAAAUAAAUAUUUUCCUCCAAAUUUCCUCAAAAAUAUAUUAAAUAUCCAAACGAAUGACCAUGAUAAUUGCAAUUACAUAUAUAAUAAGAACCAUCGCAAUAAAUGAACAAAUAAAAUAAACAGGCAACCAAUCGAAAAUGGUUGUGGUAUUUUAAUUAUGCGCUAAAGGACUCUCCUUACAAUAGUUAAUAUUUAUGUAUGUAUGUUUGUAUGGACAAUAUGUGAAAUUUUCCCAAAACUGCGAUAAACUUAAUCGACAAUUUAUCUCAUUUGUUUACAGUUCCAGUGGACCUUUAUUGGGAAAAGUUGUCUUCCAGCUGAGGAGCUCCGCACCUAUACAAGAUUCUACAAUGGCGAGGGUCUCUAUAAAAACUGAGGGCGUGCUGCAGCGAUGUCCUAAGCAGGUUGUGGACCAAGGCCAAUGGCUACUUAAUUUGUACUUGAAGCUGCCUAUGUUGCGUCGACUGAUGCACAUCAACGGAGUCGCUAGAGCUGUUUCAGGUGUCGCCGAAUAUCUUGCACAUGUAGAACGCCGGACUCUUAUACCCUACGUUUUGCCACAAGCCGAGUCGUAUCCGAUUUCCCCCCGCCAGACGGAGUCCUAUCCAAACAUUACCGAGGCGUAUUCGAGACAGACCGAGUCCCAUCCCAGCCAGACUGAAUUGUGUUCCAGCAGGACAGAAGCGCACCCCUUACCCGAUUUGAACCCGGCCAUUUGACGCGAGUUUUUUUUGUACGGUGGCGCCCCAAUCGGCCCGUGCGACGGCUUCCUGUGAUCGGAAAAAUAUCCCUGAUUUGCUGGAGUCCUUAUCAAGGACCAAGGAACAAGGAAAUGUACUCCAGGCGUAUAAAUAUUGUUCUUGCCGUUAUUUUAGGCUCGAUCGGGACCUGCCAGGAACCCACGUGCUCAGAUAAAUAUCCUUGAUCCUUCGGUAAGGACAUCAACCGCCCCAACCAUACAUAUUUAUUUUUCCCGGCUUUUUGUGGCCCGAUCGGGACAUGCGUCAUCUUACUGUGUUUGGAACAGCACCCUUGAUCUAAUGCAGUCCGUAUCAAGGACCAAGGAUCAAGGAUAUUGUCCCCAGACCUAUAUAUCUUGUUUUCUCCUUUAUUUGUGGCCUGAUCGGGGAGUGCCACGGCUUCCCGUGAUCAGAUAUAUGUCCUUGAUUCUUUGAUAAGGACCUCAGCCAUACAUAUUUAGAUCUCGGCUAUUUGUGGACCGAUCUGGGCGUGCGAUGGCUUCCUGUGAUCGGAAAAGUG